UGGUCGCAGGAGUGCUGUAAUAAGCAGAGAUUGUUUAACUCGAGCAGAUAUGGGACUAAGCUGCUGUAAAACCUCUGUCUCUUGCCCUCAGUGCACAGAGAGAUGCGGAGAGGACUGCCUGUGCCGCUGUCACAAACACGAGCCCUGCGUGGACCGCUGCUGUAACCUGUGUUUUCAGUUCUGUCUGGACUGCUGCUGCGUGAUGUGUUCGGACGACUGUCGCUAUACUGUGUGCUUCAUGUGCACACGGAUGGCCCACUCCUGCGCUGCUGUCCUGAGUGGCGAGCAGCCCACGUCUACACAGACAUGAGACGGUUUUCAUUUGGAAGGAAGACUGGAUUGGAUCACCCCAAGGAUGCGUUUUAUCUCCUUUAGUUUUUAUCUUAUACACUAACUCUUGUUCAAGUUCCUUUAAGAAUAGAUAAAUUAUUAAAUAUGCAGAUGAUACUGCGCUAGUGAGUCUUUUAUAUGAUGGAGAGGAAGAGCAUGGGCCUGUUUUGGACUUCUUUUUAAAUUGGUGUGAAAAAUCAAAUCUUCCAUUGAAUACUUCAGCUACAAAAGAGAUGGUUAUUGAUUUUAGAGAGAAAAAAUCAUUUUACCCUACAUCAAUUAAUGGGGAGCCAAUACAAACAGUUACAAACUAUAAAUACCUUGGUAUGGUAUUGGAUUAUAAUAUUAAAUGGGUUGUGUGGACGGAGCAAUUAAGUAAAAAGAUUCAACAAAGAAUGUAUUUCUUAAAGAAAUUACUCUCCUUCAAUGUCCACAAUGGAAUGUUACAGAUUUUUUAUGGUGCUUUUAUUGAGAGUGUUAUAACAUUUGGUUUAAUUUGCUGGUAUGGCAAUGCUUCAGAGGCACAGAAGAAAAUACUAAGGAAAGAGAGGUGAUUUUGGCAGGUAAAUGGUUAGGGAUUUCUUUACCGAGUAUAGAAAGUAUAUAUAAAGAUAGAGUGUUGAAUAAAGCUAACAAUAUUGUGAAAGAUAAGAGACAUCCUAUAGCCUUUGCCUUUGAAUUGUUGCCAUCCGGUCGACUGUACAGUGUCCCACGGUGUAUGAAAAACAGGUCCAAAUUUUCUUUUAUCCCUCAAGCAAUUCAUUUUUUAAUUCUAUUUCUUCUGAUAUUAAUUGAUUAAGCCAGCUGGUCUGGACUAAUCUUAUUUAUCAAAUUAGUUUAUUGAAUUAUGUAUUGAUUUUUGUAUGCCAAUUGUGACUCUUAUUGUGUCUGUGUGAGCUCGCUGCAACCUUACUUUCCCUUAAGGGGAUAAAUAAACUUAACUAACUAUACUGGUUUGUACUUGUACACUGAAUAUACUGUGAUUACUGUGAAGUGUAACAUUCUGUAAACUGAGAAAAUGUAAUCUGUAAAAUCUGUCUUGAUGAUAAAGUGAAAAUGCUUGCAUAGCAUUAUAGGUGAACAGACGUCAUUCCAAAAUGACAAGUACAAGCAGGAAAAACUUGAUUCGCACACCCUGUCAGGGUAUUUAUAUUUUCGAGUCCGCCCGGGCGUGUGUCGUACCAGCCCUGUAAACCUCAUGACAAACAGGUACAUUUGAAUGUGAACUCAUUUGAAAGGACUUUUAUAACAAAAGUGAAAAGAAGCUGCCAGCGUAUACACAAGAUUGUGCGAGAAGAGAGGAUUGUAGUUUGUGUUCUCUGUUCUCUUUUACGGUACGUGACAGAGUUGUGAUUGAGGAUUUUAAUUUCUUCUCAUUCAAUUCAAAGAGAAAACUGUGAAGGACUGAGGAAAAGAAGGUUGAAAGAAAAAAGGAGAAAUCUGAGGGCACUCUGACAGAAAAGGUCUGAUCUGAAGACUGGGCCAUGGAGGAGGAUUACAGGAAACAGUUGCCGGACUAUCCUGACAUUAUUACGCAGCAGCACACCAGCAACACCAAGCAGAGCUACUCGGCUGAUAAGAAGCAGGGAGGAGGUGGCUGCAUGCGAUGCUGCGGGAGUACCAAGAGAUGUCUGAUGAGUCCUGAGUGCGGCCGGUGUCUUAACAUCGCCAGCGUGGUUGCCAUGUGCGGCAUGUGUAUCCGAAUGUUCGUGUAGCACAGUCUCCUGCAGACCAUCUCCUCCGUUUAUGGAGAAAGAGACCAAGACAUUAUUUAGCUCUGUUCCAAAGCAGUGAACUGCCUCCUUAAACAACAUUUAUGUAUAUUCUUACAAACAAGUAAGUCCUCAGUAGAUGUUCAUAGAUAAUGUAAUCCCAGAAUGCAUUAGGACCAAACGUUUUAUUCAAUAUGGCAGAUGACAUGAGGUACUAAAUGUGACCCUGGACAACAAGAAGAUGUCUUAAGGGUCUAUUUUUCAAAAUUGAGAUGUUUACAUGAUCUGAAAACCAAAUAAAUAAGUUUUCCAUUGAUGUUUGGUUUGUUAGGAUCGGGCAAUAUUUUGCAGAGAUUUAAAACUAUUUAAGACUAUUUAAAAUUCUGAGGGUGAAAAUUGCCUUUAAAGUUGUCCAUCAGAGACGUUGGUAAGAACGUCUUUAUUGUCAUACCGCUGUAAUGACGUUGUGGAGACUAGAUGAACCCAAAAGCGUAAAUUUUAAGCUUUACAUAGAUACCAAACUUGAGUGGGUAUUUCCCAAAGAGCGGAUAGCAGCAAGUGAAGUUUGUAGGUGUGUUUCUGACCAGUUUUGCAAUUUUGCUGCAUCCACUCACAAAAAUAACAUUUUGAUAUAUUUACAGUAGGAAAUUUACUAAAUAUCUUCAUGAAACAUGAUCUUAAUAUCCUAAUGAUUUUUGGCAUAAAAGAAAAAUCUAUCAUUUUGACUGACACAAUGUAUUUUUGGCUAUUACUACAAAUGUUCACGUCCUACUUAAGACUGGUUUUGUGGUCCAGGGUCGCAUAUAUGGACAACAAAUAGAGAGAGAGAGAGGCAUGUGUAGACUGUAAAAAACUCAGUAAAAAAAUGACGUUUUUUGGCAGCUGGGCGCCGUUUUUCUCACAUACAAAUUACAUGUUUUUCAUGUUUACAUGUGAAUUUGUGUUCUUUUUCUGUAAUUUGACGGUUACUUCGAAAAUAUAUGUAAAAUAUGUCAAAGAAAUUCCAUAAAAUUACAGUCUUUUACAUUAUGUGUGGAAAAAUCUGUAAGAAAUAACAGUAAAUUUCUGUAAAAAUAUUUUUUUUAUAGUACACUUGGCUUUUGAUCUGGGCUAUUGUCACGACCUUAUACCAGUACAAUGUAGAAAAAUUUCCCUUAUUGUCUUUGUUAAUACUAAGAAAACAGUGUUUACUAGUCAUUCUGAUCAUUUUUUUGGUUGUUGUUGUUGUUAAAAUGAACUUUGAAUUGAAUUAAAUGACUCUAAAUAAAUCAAUUUGAAAUGCUUUUGCUAACAUUUAAUAAAUAAAGUACAGUAAUUGGAUGUAAUGUAUCUUAGCAAUUAUGAUCAUUAUACUAAAAUUAUCAUAUUAUUAAAAAAAAUGUUGUAUUCUAAUAAUAAUAUUCUAUGUGAAAUGUAAUAUAUUAAAAUGUAAGUAUUGUUAAUGUAGAAAUAAUAAAGUGACAAAAAUAAAAAGCUUUAUUUUGU